rnacentral:rRNA from 1 species
UGGUUGUCGUCAGCUCGUGUCGUGAGAUGUUGGGUUAAGUCCCGCAACGAGCGCAACCCUUAAGCUUAGUUGCCAGCAUUAAGUUGGGCACUCUAAGUUGACUGCCGGUGACAAACCGGAGGAAGGUGGGGAUGACGUCAAAUCAUCAUGCCCCUUAUGAUUUGGGCUACACACGUGCUACAAUGGACAAUACAAAGGGCAGCUAAACCGCGAGGUCAUGCAAAUCCCAUAAAGUUGUUCUCAGUUCGGAUUGUAGUCUGCAACUCGACUACAUGAAGCUGGAAUCGCUAGUAAUCGUAGAUCAGCAUGCUACGGUGAAUACGUUCCCGGGUCUUGUACACACCGCCCGUCACACCACGAGAGUCUGUAACACCCGAAGCCGGUGGAGUAACCAUUUAUGGAGCUAGCCGUCGAAGGGGGGACAAAUGAUUGGGGUGAAGUCGUAACAAGGUAGCCGUAUCGGAAGGUGCGGUUGGAUCACCUC